ensembl:lncRNA
GGGGCUCUGACUUGACCUUGAUAUUGGGGGUUCCCUUCUGUUCUUUCCCUUAAAGAGUGAAGAAAAAAAAAUNNNNNNNNNNNNNNNNNNNNNNACUAUAUAUAUUUUAGUAUUGUCUACAAUUUUAAUAUUCUUAAGAGGGCCAGGACUCACAGGCUACAUGACAUAGAAAAAGGCAGAUGUCCCCAAAAUUUCAGAAAGGUUAUUGUUAAUAUUUCAAAGAACAUGGUAUAUCCUUCGCUUGGCACCUAUAAGGCUGGUUGGAAGUGGUUUCGGUCUAACUCCCCUCACUUCUGAAGCAAUGGCUGAGCCUUCCUCUCCCUUUCUUCUUUAUAUUGGCCCCUUUGAGGGGACAAAGAGGUAGUUUGGGGAUGUAACAUUGAUGGCUCCUGGUGGGUGAGAAUGCGGGUUAAAUAGGGGCCCUGAGGAGAGUCUCCCCACCCAUCCCAGCUUGACAGUCCAGAGGACCCAUGAAGGAUUUUUAUCUGAGCUGGUCACAAAAGAAUAUAAGAUUGUUCAUUGCUAUAUAACUUGGGGAAAUUUUUUUUUCUAAGUACAACGGAGAAAGUAAGACUAUUUUAACCACCCAGAAAUAACCAUUUCCACCGUUUUAAUGUAAUUCCCUUAUAGUCUCAUUUCCCCCNNNNNCCCUAGAUAGAGCAUGUAUUUUAGUUUCUUGUAUUGGAUAGCUGCGAAGUCAGCUGGUAGCUUUCUGCAGUCACUGCAGAAGUGCUCAGCAUGAUGGGAACACAAGGCCCAACAACCUUUCUGCCCAAAUUUAACUUACGCUCUCUUGCUGAGUAUCAUGGGCUGGCUUAUGCCAACCAUUGCCCAUCAAUGUUGGUUCCCUUUGUUUUGCUAAGAUGUCUGUAGACGCUAACAACUGAGAUUGAAUGGGAGCUGUGGUUCUCCAUCCCAAGAACUUUCUUACUGGGGUACAUUUCCAUGGAAGUCAGUCCUAGACCAAAUACCACCCCAUGUUCAAACACUGUGAGCGAGGUGUCCCCCAAAUGGCCAUAUGCUUUCUUCUGCAGCCUGAGAAGUUCCCUCUGUCUGCUCUCUGGGGCAGCGCCAGCACCUGACACGAACGGUCAUUCCAAGGUGGACGCGCCCUGCCGCCGAGCAGGCAGGCCAGGGGGCCAGAGCAGUGGGGCUUCAGACCAAGAAUAUCUUUGUUGUUUUCGAUAUUACUUUACAUAUAGUAAUUAAGAUACACAAACUUUAAUCUCUGAGUUUUUAUAUUUGUUUCCAUCCAUGAAGCCACGGAUUUAACCAGAUUAAAAUACAGAACAUUUCCUCAUGUUCCUUGGCACCUAUAAGGCUGGUUGGAAGUGGUUUCAGUCUAACUCCCCUCGCUUGUGAAGCAAUGGCUGAGUUCCUUCCUCUUCCUUCUUUAUAUUGGCCCCUUUGAGGGGGCAUAAUCCCAGGGACGAGGGAGCCUGGUGGGCUGCCAUCUAUGGGGUCGCACANNNUCAGACAUGACUGAAGCGACUUAGCAGCAGCAGCAGCAGCAGCAGAGAUAGUUUGGGGAUAUAAUGUAACAUUGAUGGCUCCUGGUGGGUGAGAAUGCAGGUUAAAUAGGGGCCCUGAGAAGAGUCUUCCCACCCAUCCCAGCUUCACAGUCCAGAGGACCCAAGUACAGCACAUUUCCUCCCAGAAAGUUCCUCAUGUUCCAUCCCAGUCACUAUCUGCCCA